GAUGAGAGACUGAGGAGGGGCAAAGCAGCCAGUUUCAACAUGCUGGAGAACAAUAGGACAGGAAAAAGGUGGAGGGGAAGAGGCACAUUUUCCAAUGAAAUUUAAGAGGCAGAAAAAGUGUCUUAAAAUCCAAUAAUCCCAAAAGGGCUUUUAAAGGGCCGUACAUCCCAGUGGCCAAAAUCACAUGGUAAAAGGCUAUCCAUUAG